CCCGCUCAGAAACUCAAUGAAUUGACGGGGCCCGCACAAGCGGUGGAGCAUGUGGUUUAAUUCGAUGAUACGCGAGGAACCUUACCUGGGCUCAAAUGUAUGUUGACGUAUUCUGAAAGGGAUACUUCUUCGGACAAUAUACAAGGUGCUGCAUGGUUGUCGUCAGCUCGUGCCGUGAGGUGUCGGGUUAAGUCCCAUAACGAGCGCAACCCCUAUCAUUAGUUGCCAUCAGGUCAAGCUGGGGACUCUAAUGAAACUGCCUACGCAAGUAGUGAGGAAGGUGGGGAUGACGUCAAAUCAGCACGGCCCUUACGUCCAGGGCUACACACGUGCUACAAUGGCCGGUACAAAGGGCAGCUACCUGGUGACAGGAUGCUAAUCUCAAAAGCCGGUCUCAGUUCGGAUCGGAGUCUGCAACCCGACUCCGUGAAGUUGGAAUCGCUAGUAAUCGCGCAUCAGCCAUGGCGCGGUGAAUACGUUCCCGGGCCUU
rnacentral:rRNA from 1 species